ACAGUACAAACUGAUCAGGCCGGGAGCACCUGGAGCCGGGUUGCACUAGCGACAGUGGAUUUAAAACCAUCCGCGGGACAGU
rnacentral:ncRNA from 1 species